GAUGAACGCUGGCGGCGCGCCUAACACAUGCAAGUCGAACGGCACCCCUCUCCGGAGGGAAGCGAGUGGCGAACGGCUGAGUAACACGUGGAGAACCUGCCCCCUCCCCCGGGAUAGCCGCCCGAAAGGACGGGUAAUACCGGAUACCCCGGGGUGCCACAAGGCCCCCCGGCUACAGCCCCGAAGGAAGGGGAGGGAUCCACUCCCGAGGAAGAAGAUGGACCCGUGAUGGAUCACCUAGUUGGCGAGGUAACGGCCCACCGAGGCAACGAUCCGUAGCCGAGCUAGAGAGAUGACCGGCACACUUGGGACUGAGACACGGCCGCGACUCCUACGGGAGGCAGCAGUGGGGAAUCAAGCACAAUGGGGGGAACCCUGACGCAGCGACGCCGCGUGCGGGACGGAGGCCUUCGGGUCGUAAACCGCCUUCAGCAGGGAAGAGUCAAGACUGUACCUGCAGAAGAAGCCCCGGCUAACUACGUGCCAGCAGCCGCGGUAAAUACGUAGGGGGCGAGCGUUAUCCGGAUUCAUUGGGCGUAAAGCGCGCGUAGGCGGCCCGGCAGGCCGGGGGUAGAAGCGGGGGGCUCAACCCCCCGAAGCCCCCGGAACCUCCGCGGCUUGGGUCCGGUAGGGGAGGGUGGAACACCCGGUGUAGCGGUGGAAUGCGCAGAUAUCGGGUGGAACAC
rnacentral:rRNA from 1 species